GGUGUGUAGGUGAAGUCCCUGCGGAUGGAGCUGAGACCAGUCGAAGAUACCAGCUGGCUGCAACUGUUUAUUAAAAACACAGCACUGUGCAAACACGAAAGUGGACGUAUACGGUGUGACGCCUGCCCGGUGCCGGAAGGUUAAUUGAUGGGGUUAUCCGUAAGGAGAAGCUCUUGAUCGAAGCCCCGGUAAACGGCGGCCGUAACUAUAACGGUCCUAAGGUAGCGAAAUUCCUUGUCGGGUAAGUUCCGACCUGCACGAAUGGCGUAAUGAUGGCCAGGCUGUCUCCACCCGAGACUCAGUGAAAUUGAACUCGCUGUGAAGAUGCAGUGUACCCGCGGCAAGACGGAAAGACCCCGUGAACCUUUACUAUAGCUUGACACUGAACAUUGAGCCUUGAUGUGUAGGAUAGGUGGGAGGCUUUGAAGCGUGGACGCCAGUCUGCGUGGAGCCAACCUUGAAAUACCACCCUUUAAUGUUUGAUGUUCUAACGUUGGCCCCUUACCGGGGUUGCGGACAGUGUCUGGUGGGUAGUUUGACUGGGGCGGUCUCCUCCCAAAGCGUAACGGAGGAGCACGAAGGUUAGCUAAUCCUGGUCGGACAUCAGGAGGUUAGUGCAAUGGCAUAAGCUAGCUUGACUGCGAGCGUGACGGCGCGAGCAGGUGCGAAAGCAGGUCAUAGUGAUCCGGUGGUUCUGAAUGGAAGGGCCAUCGCUCAACGGAUAAAAGGUACUCCGGGGAUAACAGGCUGAUACCGCCCAAGAGUUCAUAUCGACGGCGGUGUUUGGCACCUCGAUGUCGGCUCAUCACAUCCUGGGGCUGAAGUAGGUCCCAAGGGUAUGGCUGUUCGCCAUUUAAAGUGGUACGCGAGCUGGGUUUAGAACGUCGUGAGACAGUUCGGUCCCUAUCUGCCGUGGGCGCUGGAGAAUUGAGGGGGGCUGCUCCUAGUACGAGAGGACCGGAGUGGACGCAUCACUGGUGUUCGGGUUGUCAUGCCAAUGGCACUGCCCGGUAGCUAAAUGCGGAAGAGAUAAGUGCUGAAAGCAUCUAAGCACGAAACUUGCCCCGAGAUGAGUUCUCCCUGAGACUUUAAGUCUCCUGAAGGAACGUUAAAGACGAUGACGUUGAUAGGCCGGGUGUGUAAGCGCAGCGAUGCGUUGAGCUAACCGGUACUAAUGAACCGUGAGGCUUAACCUUACAACGCCGAAG
rnacentral:rRNA from 1 species